UACAGAGGUCUCAAGCGUUGUUCGGAUUCAUUGGGCGUAAAGGGCGCGUAGGCGGCGGGGUCAGUCGGGUGUGAAAUCUUGGGGCUUAACCCCGAAACGGCACUCGAAACUGCCCGGCUGGAGGGCCGGAGAGGAGAUCGGAAUUCACGGUGUAGCAGUGAAAUGCGUAGAUAUCGAGAGGAACACCAGUGGCGAAGGCGAGUCUCUGGACGACACCUGACACUGAGGCACGAAAGCUAGGGGAGCAAACAGG
rnacentral:rRNA from 1 species